rnacentral:tRNA from 1 species
GGGUAGGUGGCUGAGCGGUAAAGCACCGGUUUUGAAAACCGAGGUACUAGUUUUAGUCGAGGGUUCGAGUCCUUUCCUGCCCG